CAAUAUUAUAGCAUUUAAGUUUCUGGAAAAGGUUUUAUGACGGAUAUGAUGGCAGAUAUUGUAAAUGUAAGGUAAAUGUAAACGAGAGAUACAAUUUAUGUCAACAACACACUCGUGCACAAACACUGUCUAUAUUGAUAUCCUCAAUGAAUUGGAUUGUUAUCGAUGGAGAAGUACCCACAGCCCUCAAACAAUGUCAAAAACAAGCAAAAAACACUUGUAUGGCUGUUGUGAAUCUUAAAUACUAAUCCAUGAAAUCAUUUAACGAGGACUACUAAUUCAUAGCACCUUAUAAUCGGGACAGGUUUUAUGUCUAUCAUUAUUAUAAAACAAAAUACUCAAAAUUACUCAACAAACAGAAAGCGACAAAAAAAAAAGAUUUGAAAAUGCAAGCAAUUGCAGUAAGAUGCCAG
rnacentral:lncRNA from 1 species